AGCAUUGCUUGAAUAUCUCUUUGUUUGGCACAAGAUGAAGAAUGCUCCUAUAUUUGGCACGAGGGUGAACUGAAGCCCAUGGAUGCAGAGCAACAGAGAGAGUAUGGUCACAAGAUGGUGAAUUUCAUUGUUGAUUAUUACAAGAACAAUGAGAACUCAAUGUUCUUAAUCAAGUUCAGGUUUUCAUAAUAACCUAUCAAUUUCUUUUUGUAUCCUUACCCAAGAAUUAGUUAUUUCCCCAUAGAAAGUUUAGCCAUUGCAUGACAGUGUUAUUUUGGUAGAGUUCGCGGAGACUUAGCUAGAAAAAAGUACUCCAUUUUAUUUCGAAUGAAAUUAGUAAAGCUCAAUCUUUUGAUGAAUACAUUUUUAAUA